rnacentral:rRNA from 1 species
AGACCGAUAGCGAACAAGUACAGUGAUGGAAAGAUGAAAAGCACUUUGAAAAGAGAGUGAAACAGUACGUGAAAUUGUUGAAAGGGAAGGGCUGGCGCGCAGACACCGCGAGGGCCUAGGGAGUGUUGGGCAGACGGGACAAGCGGCGGAGCCGCCUCGGCAUUGCUCCGUCGGAUGCCGUUUGCUCGACACAGGCCGGCUUUACACAGGUCCCUAGGGUAAUGCGCGUCAGCCGCCCGUCUUGAAACACGGACCAAG